rnacentral:rRNA from 1 species
UACAGAGGUCUCAAGCGUUGUUCGGAUUCAUUGGGCGUAAAGGGUGCGUAGGCGGCGCGGUAAGUCGGGUGUGAAAUCUCGGAGCUUAACUCCGAAACUGCAUUCGAUACUGCCGUGCUUGAGGACUGGAGAGGAGACUGGAAUUUACGGUGUAGCGGUGAAAUGCGUAGAUAUCGUAAGGAAGACCAGUGGCGAAGGCGGGUCUCUGGACAGUUCCUGACGCCGAGGCACGAAGGUCAGGGGAGCAAACGGG